AGAAGACUUGCAUCACUGAACUGAUUGGGGCAUAUAUAACUCUCCACUUACGGCACUCUGUUCUGAUUUUAAACAGUCAGAAAAUCAUCCUUGCAUUGUGCGACAUCCUGGAGUUCCUCAGUAGUAUUUUCAUUUGAAUCCAAGUUUUCCACAUGGGACUGUUCAAGUGUGAAAAAUAAUUCUCCAGGAAGUGGUUCCUCACAAGGAGUAGACUCUUCCCAAUUAGAUCGAGUUACUGAUUUGCAUUCAGUUUCCUCAUUCACCCUACAGGACACCAGCUCCUUAUCAACAGCAAAGUCAUUUGCAUACUCAUCCCUACCAUUCCCAGUUCCAGAUGCUGCAAAGAGGAGAGUUAGCUCACAGCCGUGAACCAAGUCAUUUGAAGGACGUUUCUUGGAUCUUGGGACGAUUUCUGGGAGACAAGGACAUACUGAGAGUCUGUGUUUUAUUCAACUAGGAUGGCAGAUAACGCAGUCUGGGAGGAUUUAGACCAACAGUGAAAUGUCAGCUACUUCUAACGACCGACACACAGACACACCAUACUAUCCAGAAUAAAAUCGAACAUCCUUUAAAGGGGUGUGGUGUUUGCAUCAUCGAAAAGUGAGUUGGAGAAAAGUGAAACAUAAGCAUUAACGGAAAUAAGAUUCUUGGAAUUCUGUGGUUCAGUUCCUAUUGGAAGAAAUUAGAAAACAAGCAGGUAGAGUUUCAAAAGGAGUCACAGAACCAAAGGACACAGAAGAGAAAUGGGUAGGAAGAGUGGAAAGUCUGAUCAAUAAUGUACAUGACCACAAAAUAACUCAAAUUGCUAUGCAAGUCAUUCAAGCCCCACUAAGAUGUCGAACGUGCACGGCCUGGUGCAACAUUUACAAAAGACUUCGACCACUAGUUGUUAAUUCACAUAGUACUACAAUUACUGUAUAUGUCCAGUUCUGAAGCAGAGCUAUUCUGACUGUGAAACUUUAACUCACUUUCUCUCGCCACAGAUUCUCCUUGACCUGCUGAGUUGCUCCAAUAUUCUGUUUAUUUUGUAUCCCUGAUGUUGAAAUAACCCUGAUGUUGUUCUCAUCUGAACACAUUAUUUACUAAUUCCUCAGUUUAAUGACAUUUGUACUUUUUUGAUUCUCUUGUAAAAGCUAGCACUUACUAAAAUUCUCACCAGAGGCAAUUCCAAAGUAAGGCACGCCGUCACUUCCUCCACUGCUCCCUACAUCCUGAGACUUAGCAUGACUUCUUACCACAAGGCCUUACCACAUCUUCAGAAACAAACUGAAAGAGAAAACAGGAAGUAAUGUUAUAUUACACAUAUGGAAAUACAAAAACCUCUUCAAGUUUGUUGUAAACAAAUGUCAGUUCUUUAAUUCUCCUUCUAUCAAAUAUCUAUAAAAGGACAACAGACUGUGAAAACAUGAAGGAAAGUUUCAUUACCUCCAUUAAUUUAUUUAUACUAGAAGGAAACAAGAUGCUAGUUUUCCAUUCCAUGGAAAGUUGAGUGUAAUUUGGGAAAUUAGUUUACUGCGCUAACAUUUAAUUCAACAAGUGAGAUUACCAAAUAGUACAAUUACUCAAAUCAUUAAAAAAAUUAGAAUUUGAAAUUAAUAUUCAAAGAACUGACCAGUAUUCGUCGCACCUUCUCACGAUCAACAGCGAAUGAAAUAAAUAUAUACAUGCAGCACAAGAAAG